GACGAACGCUGGCGGCGUGCCUAAUACAUGCAAGUCGAGCGCAGGAAACUGACGGAACUCUUCGGAGGGAAGGCAGUGGAAUGAGCGGCGGACGGGUGAGUAACACGUAAGGAACCUGCCUCAAGGAUUGGGAUAACUCCGAGAAAUCGGAGCUAAUACCGGAUAGUUCAACGGACCGCAUGGUCCGCUGAGGAAAGGCGCUUCGGCGUCACCUUGAGAUGGCCUUGCGGUGCAUUAGCUAGUUGGUGGGGUAACGGCCCACCAAGGCGACGAUGCAUAGCCGACCUGAGAGGGUGAUCGGCCACACUGGGACUGAGACACGGCCCAGACUCCUACGGGAGGCAGCAGUAGGGAAUCUUCCACAAUGGACGAAAGUCUGAUGGAGCAACGCCGCGUGAGUGAUGAAGGUUUUCGGAUCGUAAAACUCUGUUGUAAGGGAAGAACACGUACGAGAGGAAAUGCUCGUACCUUGACGGUACCUUACGAGAAAGCCACGGCUAACUACGUGCCAGCAGCCGCGGUAA
rnacentral:rRNA from 1 species